GAUGAACGCUAGCGGCAGGCUUAACACAUGCAAGUCGAGGGGCAGCGAGAGAGUAGCAAUACUUUUGUCGGCGACCGGCGGACGGGUGCGUAACGCGUAUGCAACCUACCUUAUACAGGGGGAUAACCUUUCGAAAGCUCCGGCGAUGAGAGAUGGGGAUGCGUUUCAUUAGGUAGUAGGUGGGGUAACGGCCCACCUAGCCGACGAUGAAUAGGGGUUCUGAGAGGAAGGUCCCCCACACUGGAACUGAGACACGGUCCAGACUCCUACGGGAGGCAGCAGUGAGGAAUAUUGGUCAAUGGGCGAGAGCCUGAACCAGCCAAGUAGCGUGAAGGAAGACUGCCCUAUGGGUUGUAAACUUCUUUUGUUCGGGAAUAAAGUGCAGUACGCGUACUGUUUUGUAUGUACCGUUCGAAUAAGCAUCGGCUAAUUCCGUG
rnacentral:rRNA from 1 species